rnacentral:rRNA from 1 species
GGAAGUAAACGUCGUAAACAAGGUUUCCGUAGGUGAACCUGCGGAAGGAUCAUUACAGAAAUAGGAGAAGGUUGCUUAACUGCAAUCCUUUUCUUUCUACACAUGUGUUUUUCUUUUUUUUGAAAACUUUGCUUUGGUGGGCCCACGGCCUGUCAGAGAUUAAACUCAACCAAAUUUUUAUUUAAUUGUCAACUUGAUUAACUAAUAGUCAAAACUUUCAACAACGGAUCUCUUGGUUCUCGCAUCGAUAAAGAACGCUGCGAAAUGCGAUAAGUAAUAUGAAUUGCAGAUAUUCGUGAAUCAUCGAAUCUUUGAACGCACAUUGCGCCCUUUGGUAUUCCAAAGGGCGUGCCUGUUUGAGCGUCAUUUCUCCCUCAAACCUUCGGGUUUGGUGUUGAGCGAUACGCUGGGUUUGCUUGAAAGAAAGGCGGAGUAUAGACUAAUGGAUAGGUUUUUUUUUCCACUCAUUGGUACAAACUCCAAACAUUCUUCCAAAUUCGACCUCAAAUCAGGUAGGACUACCCGCUGAACUUAAGCAUAUCAAUAAGCGGAGGAAAAGAAACCAACAGGGAUUGCCUUAGUAACG